GCGUUUGUGGUUUAGUGGUAAAAUCCAUCGUUGCCAAACAUUCGAGCGAAAGCCGGAUGCAGUAGUCGAUGGGCCCCGGGUUCGAUUCCCGGCGAACGCA